rnacentral:misc_RNA from 1 species
GGCGGCCUUUUAGCCAUUGUUUCGUUUGAUUUGAUUUCAAGUUGUCUCGUGUGUAAAAAAUGGUCAAAUCGACGGGAUUUUGGUUAGAUUGACGCGUUGGCGUGUGAGUGGCAAAUUCAAUGUUUGUGUUGGCUGGCUCCCUGCUUGCGCAGCGAACGGUUGCCGCAUACAUAAUUCAGUCGGAUCGGUGAUGUGUUUGUUGGAUUUUUGUGUUGCCAACCUUAAUGAUGGAAUUCUUAUGACCCAGUUGCGUUAGCUUUGCUGAGCGCCCUAGAGGCGCGAGGCGGACGGUUAUGCUGCCCCUAUUUUUGGCCAUGCUCUACCCUUUUCGGGAACCAUGGAAAAUUAUGUGGUAUCGCUUGUUGCCUCGGAUGCGGAGCACGAAGCGAGCAUGAUGCCUUUCAUCAUUUGCUCAGUCGGAGCUCUCGAUUGCUCGGAAAGAGAGACCGUCGCGCUUGGUUUUGGCUGUCGACUUGUCGAACAAGUUCAAAACCUCGGCGAUGUCUUUAACGAAUGCUACCUGGUUGAUCCUGCCAGUAGUCAUAUGCUUGUCUCAAAGAUUAAGCCAUGCAUG